rnacentral:misc_RNA from 1 species
AAGUCGUAACAAGGUUUCCGUAGGUGAACCUGCGGAAGGAUCAUUAACACGUAUCCAAACGUAAAAAACCCCCCCCGUGAACAUUCAAUCCUGCUCUUGUAACCCGCGUAGUUCGCAAUCUCUGGUAAAUCAUAGCCCGGAAAGUAGUUUUGAUUCAGAGACCUCUGGCUACGUGAGAACAUUGGAACAGUUACAAUCGAGCGGUAGUUUCAUAGGCAUUGUUUCCCCAAGCAGUCAGUGUCUGAAAGUGUCACUGAUUGUGCAAGAAAAGCGCUUCAACGAUUCCAUGCCCCUUUAUAACCCCACAGUUUAAUGUGAAGCUCAAUGUAAUACAUUGGGUAAAAAAACCGAACAACUGUUAACAAUGGAUAUCUUGGUUCAC